rnacentral:rRNA from 1 species
GACGAACGCUGGCGGCGUGCUUAACACAUGCAAGUCGAACGGAAAGGCCCUGCGUUUGUUGGGUGCUCGAUUGGCGAACGGGUGAGUAACACGUGAGUAACCUGCCCUUGACUUUGGGAUAACUUCAGGAAACUGGGGCUAAUACCGGAUAGGAGCUCCUGCUGCAUGGCGGGGGUUGGAAAGUUUCGGCGGUUGGGGAUGGUCUCGAUGGUUAUCAGCUGGUUGGUGGGGUAGGGGCUUACCAAGGGUUUGACGGGUAGCCUGCCUGGGAGGGUGAACGGCCACCAUGGGCCUACGGGACGCAGCAGUAGCGUAUGGGAGGCAGUAGUCGAGAGUAUUACGGAACAGGGGCGAGCCUGUGGUGGCGGCCUCGGGUGAGUAAUAAUGGCCUACGAGUGAUGAACAGAUUUGGACUGUGCCGAAGAGUGAGUGACGGUAAUGAAUAAGGAAGCACCGGCUAACUACGUG